rnacentral:rRNA from 1 species
GACGAACGCUGGCGGCGUGCCUAAUACAUGCAAGUAGAACGAGUUGCGAACGGGUGAGUAACGCGUGGUAACCUGCCUCAUAGCGGGGGAUAACUAUUGGAACCGAUAGCUCAUACCGCAUACUGUUAGAUGGACCUGCGUUGUAUUAGCUAGUUGGUGAGGUAAAGGCUCACCAAGGCGACGAUCCCUAGCUGGUCUGAGAGGAUGACCAGCCACACGGGAACUGAGACACGGGCCAGACUCCGACGGGAGGCAGCAGUGGGGAAUAUUGAACAAUGGGCGCAAGCCUGAUGCAGCCAUGCCGCGUGUAUGAAGAAGGCCUUCGGGUUGUAAAGUACUUUCAGCGAGGAGGCGUUACUCGCAGAAGAAGCACCGGCUAACUCCGUGCCAGCAGCCGCGGUAAUUC